rnacentral:lncRNA from 1 species
GGACAGUUCCUAUAAAGGCAAAGCCCCGGCUAACAGAUGGACUAAAGAUGUGAGAUGCAGGAAGAUUUACCAGUCUAAAUAAUUCAAGGGAAUGUCGUAUGGGGAGGCAGUGCUGGAGAGGGGAGCCGGCAGAAGGUACAGAUGGAAAGGCAGGCCAGGCCUUUCCCACAAACCCAUUAAGAACGUCGCUUGUCUGAGUGACAGUAUGUCGCACAAGGCACCAGCAGAGAUGGGUGGAUUUGCCUCCAGCGCUCCUUCUGCAAGGUCAGGAGAAGAGGGCCUUGCAGCAGCCACCUCAGAUGAAAGCACUUCCCAAAACCAAGAGAAACAAAAAAAGCUUCCUCGAAGUGGAUGGAGAUGCUGCACAAACUGCCUGAGCACCUCUGCCCUGCUCUGGGUUAUUGAACUGGCUUCUGCAAAGGCAAUUUCAAACAGCAAACAGCUAAGCAAGGGGAGCAAGACAUAACCUUUGCUUCUGCAGGACCUACCAGAAGCUGACAAUGUGGGUACGUGGGCAAUGGGAAAAGCAGUUUAUGUUUUAAGCUUCACGUGACCUCUGGAGCUUCUGGGCUUUGGAAGGUGAGAGUGAGACAAUCCUCACAAGCACUUGAUCCCUCUCGAAGUGAAGGGGCUUUCCUGGGUACACAGCUUUCCCCCUUCUGUCUCAGAAGUGUAUCUGGUUUUUUGGGGGUGGAAAAAAAAAAAAAAAAGAGGAUUGAUUCAAAUAAAAAUGUAUUUGUAUGAGAAAAAUUAUUUCCU